UUCGGAAGCUGGUCAAAAAUCAGAAAUUUGAUAAUAUUUUAAAUAAAAACGAAUUGAUUGCUUGGCAAUCAAUCAAAGAGGUUAUUGGCGGGUUGUUGGGUAAAAAUAAGUCUGACAGCUAUCAGAGAUCUGUUAACGCAAUGAUGAAUGCUUUUUCUAAAAUAGGCGUUAAUAUGUCGAUCAAAAUUCAAUACCUACAUCAUCAUCUAGACUACUUCGGUGAGCAACUAGCGACCGAAUCAGAUGAACAAGGUGAACAGUACCACCAAAUUGCAAUGCCAUUUGAAAUGAGAUAUCGAGGAAAAAAGUCUCCCGAUGCUGUAUUAGCGGAAAUUUGUUGGUGGAGCAAGAACUUGCAUUACGAUGAUGAAGGAGAAGAAAACACAGGAAGUGAACUACAAAAUUUGUCUACUUCAAAUUCUGGUUCUACAGAGCAUCCACCAGAGCAGAAAAGACCUCGAACUAUAUAAUGUAGUUCAUUUUUAUAUAAACUAUGUAAAAAAAAUACAAAUUAAAUUUUAAAAAUUAAAUAUAUAUGAAAAAUUUUUACUCAAAAAAGCUGAACUUUAAAAGCGCAUAACUUUAAAAUACGAGCUAACUUUUUAAAACCCUUUGGGGGUUUUGGUCUACUGAUGUUCUACUAUCACUUCCCGUUGGUCUCAUUCGGGAAAGAUUUAAUGACCCGAAAUUUGAUGCACAGUGUUAUUAAAU